CCUACGGGGCAGCAGUGGGGAAUAUUGGACAAUGGGCGAAAGCCUGAUCCAGCCAUGCCGCGUGUGUGAAGAAGGCCUUCGGGUUGUAAAGCACUUUCAGUGGGGAAGAAAGCCUUGGGGCUAAUACCCUCGAGGAAGGACAUCACCCACAGAAGAAGCACCGGCUAACUCCGUGCCAGCAGCCGCGGUAAUACGGAGGGUGCGAGCGUUAAUCGGAAUUACUGGGCGUAAAGCGCGCGUAGGCGGUCUGAUAAGCCGGUUGUGAAAGCCCCGGGCUCAACCUGGGAACGGCAUCCGGAACUGUCAGGCUAGAGUGCAGGAGAGGAAGGUAGAAUUCCCGGUGUAGCGGUGAAAUGCGUAGAGAUCGGGAGGAAUACCAGUGGCGAAGGCGGCCUUCUGGACUGACACUGACGCUGAGGUGCGAAAGCGUGGGUAGCAAACAGGAUUAGAUACCCCUGUAGUC
rnacentral:rRNA from 1 species